CCUCUGGACUCCAUCUGAAAGAACGCACCGAACCUAAGUUCUGAUCCUUGGGAAGGAUCAGUCAAACCUACGUAACCAGGCUUACCAAGCUUACCAGGCCCAGAACCUUAUCUCCUCCAGUGAACCAUCCACACCUACGACUCAUAUCCUCAGUACCAAGGACUCCCCUUCGCCUGGUGGCGCUACCGAAACUCCGCUGUCUCAACAAUUACUUCCUGGACGUGACGUAACUUCCCCUAAUCCGGAGACAUUUUCUGGAGAAAUCAGAGACUGUGGAGGGUUUCUGCUAAGGUUCAGCUGUUUCACCUAACAUCCCGGUUAUAGACCAUAAGGGGGAGGAGCCUUCAGAUCUCACUCAAGUUCCCUCUGAAUAUCAUGACCUGAAAAUUGUUUUCAGCAAAUCCAGGGCCCUCUCUCUCCCUCCUCACCGGCCCUAUGACUGUGCAAUUGAUCUUCUUCCUGGAGCACCUUUACCAUCAAGUCGGCUAUAAAAUAUUUCUCACCCUGAACAGAUUACCAUGGAGAAAUAUAUUUCUGAGUCUCUGGCAGCUGGAAUCAUCCGCCCAUCAUCCUCUCAACUUGGUGCUGGUUUUUUCUUUGUCGGCAAAAAGGAUGGAUCAUUACACCCAUGUAUUAAUUACCGUGGACUUAAUCAAAUCACAGUUAAGAAUAAACAUCCCUUACCAUUACUCUCAUCUGCUUUUGAACCAGUCCAAUUGUGUUCAAUGGACUUUGUUAAGUUGGACUUACGAAAUGCUUACCACCUCGUCCGGAUUCGCAAGGAAGACAAGUGGAAGACAGCACUAAUGAUGCCCCUAGGGCAUUUUGAAUAUUUGGUUGUGUCAUUUGGACUUAGCAAUGCGCCUGCAGUGUUUCAGGCGUUAGUGAACAAUGUGCUGAGAGAUUUUUUGAAUAUAUUUGUUUUUGUUUACUUAGAUGACAUUUUCAUUUAUUCUAAGAACAUCAUCGAACAUCGCCACCAUGUCCGUCAAGUUCUGCAACGUCUCUUGGAAAAUCGGCUUUUCAUUAAAGCAGAAAAAUGCAAGUUCCGUAAGAGUUCAGUCACCUUCCUGGAGUUCAUUCUAGAGGGUGGACAGGUUCGCUCAGAUCCGGACAAAAUCAAAGCAGUCCUGGAAUGGCCACUCCCAGAUUCACGCAAACAGCUCCAGAGAUUCCUUUGAUUUGCAAAUUUCUACCGGAGAUUUAUCCGCAACUACUGUUAUGAUUUGGUGUUUGUUUGGUUUCGGGGUUUUUCUUUAUGUUUUUCACAGUUAAG